GACGAACGCUGGCGGCGUGCUUAACACAUGCAAGUCGAACGGCAAGGCCCUGCUUUUGUGGGGUGCUCGAGUGGCGAACGGGUGAGUAACACGUGUGUAACCUGCCCUUGACUUUGGGAUAACUUCAGGAAACUGGGGCUAAUACCGGAUAGGAGCUCCUGCUGCAUGGUGGGGGUUGGAACGUUUCGGCGGUUGGGGAUGGACUAGCGGCUUAUCAGCUUGUUGGUGGGGUAGUGGCUUACCAAGGCUUUGACGGGUAGCCGGCCUGAGAGGGUGACCGGCCACAUGGGGACUGAGAGACGGCCCAGACUCCUACGGGAGGCAGCAGGGGGGAAUAUUGCACAGUGGGCGGAAGCCUGAUGCAGCAACGCCGCGUGCGGGAUGACGGCCUUCGGGGUGUAAACCGCUGUCGCCUGAGACGAAGCGUGAGUGACGGUAAUGGGUAAAGAAGCACCGGCUAACUACGUG
rnacentral:rRNA from 1 species